GUUAGUAACUUGUACAGGUUUUAAGAGAAAAGCCAACAGGAUUUAGUGGAAGAGAAGAAACUGUGAAAAUUAACAAGCAGGUCGUCGACGUUGGCAAGCUUGAAGAAUGUGCCAUGAAUAAAAAAAAUGCCAUGAAUAAAUGAAUUUGUCACUAAUGAAUUUGUCAUGAAUAAAUGAAUGAGUAGCCAAUCCAAACCGAACUACAUAUAGACAAUAAUGAAA
rnacentral:lncRNA from 1 species